GCCGCCCUCCCCUCAACAAUCUAGUUCACUGGGGGUUCAGUCUUAGCAGGACCCAGGGCUUCCCCUUCCACUGGUGCUCUUACUAGGAUAUUCAUUGCUUCCUCUGAGGUCAGAGUCCAGGGUCAGUCCAUGUAUAGUCUUUAGGAAGUGGCUUAGUCCCUGGAAGCUCUGGUUGCUUGGCAUUGUUGUACAUAUGGGGUAUCGAGCCCCUUCAAGCUCUUCCAGUUCUUUCUCUGAUUCCUUCAACGGGGGUCCUAUUCUCAGUUCAGUGGUUUGCUGCUGGCAUACGCCUCUGUGUUUGCUGUAUUCUGGCUGUGUCUCUUGGGAGAGAUCUACAUCCGGCUCCUGUUGGCCUGCACUUCUUUGCUUGAAAAGAAGCUUAGAAAGCUCCAGAAGUUAAAGAGAAAAAGAGACAAAUGAACAAGGAAAGUAAGGGAGGAAGCUUAUAGAGCUGGGCUUCAGUGGAAGCAAGCUCCUUGAGGGGCUGAAUGAAUGUCCUUACUCUCUGGAGCAGGGCGGGGACUGCUUACCUACUGCCCUUUGUUCCUGAGAGGUUGAGAGCAGUCUUUUUGUUUUGGUGCAAGGACUGAGUCUCCUGAGGCCUUCGAUCAGUGGUUCUCAACCGGUGGGUGGAGAACCCUUUGAGGGGGGAUGUCUAAAGACCUCUUUCCUAGGGGUCACCUGAGACCAUCAGAAAACAGUUAUUUACAUUAUGAUUCAUAACAGUAGCAAAAAUACAGUUAUGAAGUAGCAACAAAAAUAAUUUUAUGGCUGAGGUCACCAUAACAUGAGGAACUGUGUUAAAGGGCUGAACAUUAGGAAAGUUGAGAACCACUGCCUUAGAGAGUCCUGAGGCAGAGAAACCCCUGGAUCUGAGAGGGACAUAAGAAACUGCCCAUUUGUGUUGUACCAAAAUCCAGCACAGUGGCCCCAAGAUAUCCUGCUACACGGUAUUAGUUGUAUAAACUUCAAGACUUCACAUUUUUGAGACCCAUAAAAUAAUAGUGGAUUUUCAGAAUAAUCAAGUGCCUGGGGUCUUAAUUUGCAGAAAGGGUGCCAUCCAGUGGAACCACAGCAGGACAUGAUCAUGACGGAAGGAUCUCAGAUCCCAAAGGUUUAAGAGGAUUAGACCUAGAAUUUCAGUUUCUCUAAGUCAGAUUAGCCCAGGAAAAUAACAAGGAAUAAAAACAGUUUGAUGGUUAUUUAAUAAAAAUGGUUUGAUUUCAAAUCACAACCAGAAUGGGGAUAGGAACCAAAGUAAAACAAUGGAAAUAUGAUUGACAUAUAACAAAAGAAACAUUUUCUCAGAAGCUGAACUGGAAGAUAUGAAGUUUAAGCAAUCCUGUCUAUGAUAUCACUUAAGAUACAAUUUACAAAGACAUGGGGCGAGGGAUGUAGGUGUUGGCAAUGGAUUGGUGCUACAUAAGAAUGCAGUUCAACACUCCAGCUUAUUCCAAAGAAACAGCUUGAAUUUGGAAAUAAAAGAUGUCAAUGAAUGAAGGAAAACUGCGCAUGUCCCCGAUCAUUGGAUGUAAGAGAGCGAGAUAUGGUGUGAUGAGGACCGUGUGGUGAGCCUGCCUCUCCUGAUGUGGUAGAUGCUAUUCUUUCUGUUAAUCUGUUAAAUUUAGUUCCAAGAUACAGAACUGCACCAACUUGGACUUCUGGGCCCAUCUCUCUUCAUCUGGAUGUAGGCAGUUUCCCCUUCCUAAACUUAAUGUCACCAAGUUUAUAAAAUGUACACAUCUUUCUUUGCAAACUGCAUGAUACGAGUGCCUCACCAGCAAACAGAUAACCUGUAUCACUUGCUUCCCACAUGUGGCCCUUUAAAUUCUGCUGGCUUCCCCUUGUAGGUAUCCUGCAGACAACCAUUUUGUUUUCAGACAUCCUGGAUGGCAGCCCAUGGUGGCCAUGAGGAAAUCUGCCACACCUCUAUCCUCACAGCUACCUGAGCCUGGACCAUCACUGCUUCCUUAAUUGUGAAACAUGCCCCAGAGUUUCUUCAGAAUCAUAAAGUAGAGCUGACGAGAUAGGUGAGGGAUGAAGCGGUUGUUUGCUACAAGUUCUACCUGAGUUGCAGCGACCACUAUUACCAGAUUGCUGUAACUGACUGAUACACCGAGUGUCUACACCGAGAGGUGAGUAAGGUACGGAGCGCCCCUUUACAACUUCACUUACUGCUGCCCAUCUCUGUGUGAGUCACACCAGCAUUCACUUUGCUUGUGACAUCAUUGUGUUCCGAAAUGAACAGUGUAUUUCUUACACAGUUCUGACUGUCCUUUACCAGCUGACUUCACCAACUUCACCCCUUUCUGAGUCAGGACUGACUUGGAGAGGACAGGAGAAACUGCUCUACAACAGCGUCGAAGGCUGUCUUGGCUCCAACUGAAAGGAGAGGCACUUCCUCACUUGAAGCUGCAGGAAUAGCUUUUCGUGGUUUGAUGGAUCUGAUAGUUCAUGUUCACAGUCAACCUUGCAGCCUUGGAAAAUGAGGUGUAAAUUCAAAAGCCAAGAAGGCAGGACUGUGAAGAGAUAUUUGCACAUGAAUAUUUAUAGAAUCAUUUACUGUAGCCCAAAGGUGGAAACAGGCAGAUGCUUAAGAACCAUCUUUCAAAUGGACAAAGGACCCUUUAUUUGAGAAAAUUAAGUUUGUCCAGUAAACAAGUAAGUGAAGAGGAAAUUGGGGCGUCUGUUCUUAGAGAAGCAAUUGGCUAUAGCAUCUUGUGAUGCCACAAAUCAAAUAAUUUUUCAAAAAGGCCCAGAUGUUUUUAAAGGGCACAGAGUUAACUGCAAUGAAUUUAUGAAGGGUCCAAUUCUGUUAACAAAAGAAAUAACGGUAGUUUGUAACUCAAAGAAUAAAAUAAAUAUGUUUACAUACAUACCGAUGAUGAAUAAGAAAUCCAGAGACAAUUCUUUCUGAAGGAUUUCAACUAAGACAUGGAGCAGAGAAGAGGGUGACCUAAAAUCCUCAUUAGGGCCCCAUAGUAUUAACUGCUUAGUCAGGUCCAUCUAUUGGCCCCAAGAUCAAUAAAAAAGCAAGAUGGUUGUGUGUUAGUUAUGUGGGACAAAUGGAAAAACAUUUAUUAUAUACUCAUACAAUUUGGACAAGUUUCUUGCAUUUUAUCCUUCCAACUCUCUUUUCCAUGACAAAGAAUUAAGAACACAGAGACUAAGAAUCUAGCACUGAACCAGUGAACUUACCAUUACAAAUUUUAAAAGAGGAAAAUGUCUUUGCUCUGGGCAAUUAAUGAGUUAAAGAGCACAUCACAAAUUCUAAUUUAGAUAUUAGAUUCAUGCAUAUUACAGAACACUUAUGCAUUAGUAAGUAGAAAUCUAAAUGGUUUAUUUUUCUAAUCAUAUCAUGACCUUCUCAUUCCUUUCUAACAGCUACCUACCUCAGAACGGGAAGGGAGUGAUUCAAUCAGUAAAUACUUAUUAACUGAAUGAAACCAAUCUCCAAACUUUGUGUUAUACACUGAAGCUCUAAAACUGAAAGGUGCCACAUCAUCUCCCCAAAAGCCCAUAAUCCAAUGAGAAAUGCUGACAAUGAAUAGAACAAUGUUGCAGUGUUAGAGGAGAACAAGGUACCCUGAAGGUGGGAAGCAGCCAGUUCAAAGACAAAUGGGCAUGAACUCAGAUAAUUCAGAGCUGGGACUGGAUGUAGCCUGGCUGGGGUUAAUGUUUCCACCUGGAGAGUGUCCCCAAGUCAAUAUGAACUAGAAACAUACUCACCAGGUGGGAAAAAAAAUCAUUUCGAAAGUGGAGGUCAACUAUGAAUUAAAGAAAGCUAACAGUUCAAGGGCGAUUGGAGAUAUGAAGUUGCCUUUGUGAUGAUGUUUUCAUCUUAGGACCUAAGUAAUAGGUGAGCCUGGCCGUCACUAGCUUCAUUACAUUGUCCAAUUACCCGCUUUCCUCGGAACGAUCUGUGUAUUGUGUCUUUAAGUGUGAAAUCUUCGACCACAGGGAUGCUUUCUCCCUGUGCUCACUUCAAAAGGUACCUCAGGAGUGUUUGCUAAUGGCGAGAUGAAGAAACAGCAUGCACAAUCUACAGCUAAGUGCUGCUGGUGGCAAACUAAUAAGCCAGCAUCGAGCUGCCAGAUGUGUGCCUUCUACUCACCACGGUGCUUGUGUAGGCUGCAGUACAUUAAAUUAAACCCGCCAAACGUGUGUUGAGGGCCUACUGUGCACCAGGCACACAGCCUGUGGGAUACCAAAUGGAUGUGGAAAACUGACGACAGAAGAAAGCACCUGGGCCCCAUGCAAACUUUUAGUUAACUGCAAAUCAAAGAAUUAUUAUUAUUAUUAUUAUUAUUAUUAUUAUUUUUACAAUUGAUGCACACAAUGUAACAAAGUAUAGGUCUCUGACUGUUUCACUUGGCGGUUGAAAUCAGCAAUUAUCUUAACAGCUGGCUUCAGAGUUUCUCUUAAGGAGGACGUUGUCUGUUUCAGGUAAUACCCUGUUAAAGGGCUUAUAAAAAAAAAAACCCAACAAGAUACCAAGUUGAUGGCUUAGUAGGGGAUAAACUAGUAAGGGCUGUGCAAAGCUUACCAGUAGAAAUGAAGAGAAUACUAUCAGAAUGUCAGAGUCAGAAAAGGAACAAAGCAAUAGAGUGUCUCCAGGAUCUGGAGACAUCUAAGUGCCAAGUAUUUGUGGUGAGUAAAUUCUCUUGCUCUUCCCCUACAAACCUCAGUAAAGUCUGCUGUACAUACAAAGGUUAUCUGCAUGAGAGGCAGAGGACGGAGGGAGGGAGAGGAGAGAGAAUAUGAAUCACGAAGGGGACUGUAUUUCAUGCUUUUAAGGACUCACAGAAUGACUAGGCGAACCCUUCUCUAAGCUGAAUUUGCAAAACAGAACUGGCAGUGAGCAAUGGAACGCAGGAGUCCUCAACCUCAAACCUAGAAUUGAGAGACUCUUUUGGGAAACCACUGGGUCUUAUCUAGAUCUGGUGCUGUUGUAUUUCCCCCAGAGCUCUAGCUUCUGCCCCUAGUACUCAGUUAAUUAUCUGUGCUUUAUCGUUUAUUUUGUUUCCUUAUUACUGUUUAUUUCUUGUGUUUUUUCCUGGUUCUCCCUAUCCUCUCUCACCCCUUUACCGUGAAUACUCCGAGCCUAGGACUUCGCCUGUCUUGUUAGCUGCAGCUCAGUGGCUGCAAUGAGGCAUCUAGCACGGAUUAAGCCUUUAUUGGACGAAGGGAUCAUCUGACUACUUUGAUGACAUGCAACUCACAGUGACGUUCUUUGAAAAUCCAUAGUGAUGGUUAUUAUACGACUUUGUCUUUAAUUAGUCUGUACUUCUUUUCAAGUAUAUUAGUUAGUUGUUGUUUUAGACCCAAGUAGUUUUCAAAGGCAUUUUGAAAAUUUUAAAAAUUGAGUUGCUGAGACCUUUAUUAAUUAGAACGAUGCUUUUUUUUUUCCUGCCUCUUUCUGUCCCUUAGAUCAGCAUGGUGUGUCAAAAUAAUGGAAGGCAGGGAGUGACCGUCUAUCCUGGUGAUGCUUCAUUGAAUGAGGAGAUGAGGCAGGCCAGUGGGAAAGCAGAUGUGGGUUCCCACUCAGAAGUGCGUUCCCCAUAAUUCUUUUGCUUUCUUCUUUCAGUAUUCAUUGAGGAGAUUCUUCAUAGAUAGCACAUACGGUCAUAAAAGGAGAACCAGCUCAUUUUAACUUGGAGGUAAAAGCCCUUACUUGGGAAUUCUCAUUAACAUCUCCCUCCCUGUUUUAAGUUUUAAGCAUUGUAUUAUUGGAUACACACAGGAAGUCUGACCCUCCUUUCUUGGACAUGGGAUACUGUUUAGUAAGCCUGUGUGGGCCUUUACAGUCUCUGCUGAGCACUGCUCCUCAGAUGUACUUUCUGAUCUCUUUUGUCAGAUUAAACACAGGAUGCUGGGUUAAAUUUGAAUUUUAAUUACAAGAUGAAUAAUUUUUAGUGUAAGUAUUCCUUUUGCAACAUUUGAGGGCUAAGUUGAUUGAAUAGGCAUCUAAAAUUCAGAUUUAACUGACAUCUGUUCCCCCCCACCCCCACCUCCCCUUUUGUAAAUCUGGUACCUCUACUUACAGAGAAAAGUCUCUUGGAAGUGAGAUGCUGAAAUCUCCUUGCUAGGACAGUCUGCAGGGCAUUCGGCACUACAAGCCCAUCUUGCGCAGGAAGAGAUCCGAGGCUAUUGAGCCGAGUAACCCUGGCAAGACUGGAUUUUUUUUUCUUUUCAAAUCACGUUUCACAGUAAUUUCCAGAUUGGGCUAAUAAAUUCCAGAUCUUUUAAAAACUGUGUACUGUAAUUAGCUGGAUAAUAAUCUAUAAUUACCCAGGGAAAGUGAGCUCACGUGUAAAUGAUUAGAGUUAUAAACUAUGCUCUUUCCAUGGAGGGACUUUUGGCAUUUUCUAACCAGCUCAUGGCAUUCGAAAUAUUUGAUCCUCUCUGCUGUCCCACCAGCCUCCUGUCACUGCAACCACCUUCUAUGUCUCUCUCUUUGUUUACAGAGUCCUGGCAGGUGAUGCUGGGUCUUCCAUGUCAGUAGAUGGCACAGAGCCCAGACCCAGUAUAUAGAAAUUCACGAGUUCUAUGAAGCAGAAGGCUAUGAAGGCCCUCACUUCCACAAUUGUUCUAGAUGCAGGCACCCGCAGACCUGUAGGUUGGACCUUAGAAACCAGUCAAGUGGAAAGCUGAGGCUGCUGUUUGAAGGGUCCUGUGCACAGUUUACCUUCCAUGCAUUCCUCCAAGGGCUUUGCUCUCUCCACAAAAUACCUCCUACCACAUGCAGUGGGUGCCCGGACUCUGUCAUGAGAAGUUGGUUGGUAGACCUCAUAUGGCUUUUUAUUGUUUUCUCCUGAAUAACCUUCGGGGAAUUCUCAUUCCUGUCAUGGCCCCUGUGUGUUCUUCUCCAUUAGUGAAAUUUCAGAUAACCUAGAGACUGCUCAGGACAUAUUCCCAGGAGUUGGAACACUUUGGUGGCCCUUGGAUCAUGUCACAUGACUAACUGACGCAAGGCAAGCCGUGUUUUGAUGUCAAUGUGUGACGGGCUCAGUAGUGACAAAUUGUUCUGGCAUGCAUUCCUAGACACAGGGUCCUCCCAGGCACCUGAGUGUCAUCCCUGUGUCUGAGUCUAGCAGACUUUUCUAUGUCUGUUAUUAAGAGUCCCCAUCAAGGAGAGGAGAAAUUGUUGCAAUGGUGCUUGUGUUUCUUAAGUACCAAGGAACAUUAUCCUUUUUUAAAGCCUCACACUAUCCCUAUAGAAACAGCUCUGCAUUUGUUUUGCAUUUUAACAGACUAAGGCCAACUGAGGUAAUGGUCUCUCCAAGUUAGCAAGCAAGCAAGGCAGUCAGAAUGAAGCCACAGUCCUUUGAAGGAGCAGCCAGGACUCUUCACCACCAAGCCAUCUCCCUAGCCUGUCUGGAGCUCUUAAUCGGAAUGUUGAAAUAGGAUGGUUUCUUUCAGAUUCAUGUCAAUAAAUAAAUACCAUUUUUGCUACAGCUAGCACAGUGAUUAGGAUAUAAGAAAAAAUAAUUAAAUGCACUAAUUUUCUGUGAAAAGUCAUUUAUGAGAUAAUUGGCAAAAUUUUCUGAAAAUCUGCACAGUAACGUUUGACCAGUAAGUGAUAUGCACAGGCAGAGCAGAGAGGGGACGUCAUUCCUGGCAGACAUGGACAGUGUGGGCUUCUUAAAAUGUAUAGAAGAUGGGCUGGACCUGAAUUUCAGUUAGAGUUUCAAGGUGACAGUGAUGAUGGGCUUGUUUUUGUUUUUGUUUUGGUUUGUUUGUUUGUUUGUUUGCCUUGAAGAGUAAGUGUCUGAUCCAAAAUGGCCUUUGCAGGUUGGAGAAAGAAUUAGGAGCUUGAAAGUCAAAGUCUAAGAAUAGCGUCUCUUCUGUUACUCGUGGGACACAGACAAGGCUGUCGACCAUUUAUUUUCUCGACGUUUUUCUUUUUGUUAUUAUUGUUGAUCACCUACUAUGUGCAGAUGUAUACAAUGAUGACCAGAGACAGAUGCAUUGUGUGGAGAUACUCAGAGGAGCUCCUACCUUCCUCAGAUAUCUAAGGCGCGGCGUGUGUCUGUGUCUAUGUGCAUUGUUUAGAUUUUAGGUAAUGUUGGGGAUGCGGGGUGUGGAGGGCACAGCAGGGAGGGACUUGAACUUCUAGAAGAGUGAAAAAGGUGAACAGAGUGUGGAUAGUGCUUCCAGCUGUAGAAAGCCAAGGGAAAGGGAGAGUGGUUGGCUCUUGGUGUAUUAUUGUUGCCAUUGAAAAUCAAGUCUAAAACUGCCUUGCAUAAAUGGAGUUACACCCAGUCAGCAAGCAGAAUGAAUUUAAACACUUUUGGCCAUUUUAUUCUUCCAUGGAGUAAGAAGACACAAAAGAAGCAAAAAGGAACAAGGGAUCCAGGCUCCACUUCGUUUAGCCCUUGCCUUCCACCACCUUCCCUCCACUUUGCCUGCUUGGCCUUCUCUAAGAAAUGAUUGAAAAUCCUUCUCUAAGAAAUGAUUGAAAACCUAGAGACCCAUAGAAUGUCUGCUCACAGGGCUCUGCUUAGUCAGAUGCUCUGCACUCUAUUCUGCUGUUAUUUCAAGCUGUCAUUUUUUUUUUCUGUCCCGAAUCUGAGCAGCACAAUGCCCUCAGUCUAAGUGUCUUCCUGACUUGCAGCCAGAGAGCCAGCCUAUUGUGGUGAUGGCUGCCAUAUUUAUGCAUAAGGUUUGAAAUUGGAACCCAUUGUCUCUACAGAUGGGGAAAUCACAGAACAAUGGCUGCCAGAAGAAAUUGUUUGCAGUUUGGUAGAAAACAGUCUUGCUGACUUGUGAGCAAUGCGAGAUGAUUUAGCUCUGAAGUACAAAGAAUAAAAUACCAGUCUUUCUGAGGACCCUUGUAAGUGAAAACCACAGUCAUGGCAGCUGAGCUGACUACAGGAGUUCAUAAAAUGCCAUGGGGAGCAGCUUUUAACUUCUGAAAAGCUGUUACAUAAGCCUGGGAAAUGUGCUAUUUUACAUUUCACUCUAUAGGCGUGGACCUCACACACCUCACCUGUGCACUAUCAGGCUCAAGAGGGAUUCUGUCAGACACUCAGCCCACUCUACUCCUACUUCUGUGGAGAAUUCAUUUGAGGGCUUAGGGAUGUGCCUUUGAGCUAAUUCAUAACAAAGGAUGGAAGUUAGUCACUAGGCAGAAAAAAAGUAAUUUCUCUAGAAGAAGUAUUUUCUUUUCCUGGGAUAAAUAUGACAUUUGUCACAGAUAAUACUGAAGGAUUUUAAACAGUAAGAUAUUUAAAUCUUGAAAAGUUUCUCUGUGUUUUUUUUUUUCCCCUCAGAGAGUUUAUGCUCUUUGGAUAGAGAAUUAAGGGAGAUUCAUUCUAGAAGCAGGUUGGUUGUUAAUGACCUUUGUUGACCUUGGGCAAGCCUCAGGUUGACAGGAUGGAGAUCAGUUCCUCUCUUAUACAUAGCUGUUGAAGUAACUCUUGACAGAGCCUACGUCUAGUUUGAGUUGGGCUUCCAGUCCCACCUUUUACCAGGAUUAUUUUCAUGAAAUGACGGUCACAUGGACCUUACACACUCUUCUCAGACAGGGGAAAAAGGAGGAAAAGUAUAAGGUGUCACAAGGAAUGUUUAAGACAGCAGAAGAGAAGAUACUCGGGGCUGGCUUGUAACCACAGUAACAAGGGAAGUUAGGUGUUUGUGAGUUUGCGCUGUGUGCUAAUUCUCCAAAGAGAAGAUUGAGGUGAAAGAGGAAACUCUCUAGUUGCCAUUCACAUUCAAGGAUAAAGGUCCUUCUGAAGGGAGUCCAAAAGAUAACUCCAUCCUUUUAUUGGAUUGGCGCUCUCCCCGAUCCUUACACUGGAUGCAUCAACUGCUUUGAUUGGAUCUUUCCUUAGCAGGGAUGCCGAACUCUACUACCAUUGGCACCUCCCUGCUAUCUAGUCUAGACUUCUCCUCAUCUGGCUCCUGUAGGAGCGUCUUACCUGGAAUCCACAUCUACAGUCUCUGCUCAGCGACUAACUCAGAGCCCAUCCAGUCACAUGGAAGGAAACCCAGUCAUUUCACUUUCCUGCUUAAAGCUCCCGACAUUGUAGCUCCCUUUAGAGUGGAAGUCCCUGUUCCAUAAGGUCUGUGGGACGUCACUCUUCCAGAGUCCUGUAGUUCCUCCAUUUCUCUCAUAGGAGCUUAGCAAUAUUACCUUUUUUUUUUUUUUGGCGUUCCUUAAUCUUUCUUAUGUUGCUUCUGUGUGUAUGUAUAUAGUAUGUGCAUGUGUAUUUGUGUGUGUGCUUACCUGUGUGUGCAUGAGUGUGCAAGGAACAGACAUCCUCAACUCACUUGUGCACCUAAUUUAAGUUUAUAAGAAGGAGUCUCUCACUGAACUGAAAGCUUGCUGUUUUGGAUACACUGGCUGUCUGUAGUCAGCCCUUGUGGAUCUACCACUCACACUACCACCCACCCCCUCAGAUCCCUGUUCUAAUCUGAACUCAGGUCCUCAUGCUUGGGAAGCAGCACUCUCCCCAUUAAGCCUAGCCACUCACUUCUGUCUCGGUAUUGACUCUUCUCUGCUGCAAGGCUUUCCUCAGAGAUACAGAGGCCUCAAGGCUGAUUUCUUCAUCUUGAAUUUUCUGUUCAAGUGAAACCUGCCCAUGAGGUCUUUCUUGACUACUCUAUUCAGACUCCUACCUACAUCUUCCUCUAUAUAUCUUUUAUUUAUUCUGCUUUUUCUUCUAUUUCUUUUCUGGCAUUUUGUACAGCUUUCUUAUGGAUUAAGCUUAUGUCUAUUUUUUUUUUGGCUAGAUAAGUAGAGAGGCUUGUUUUUCACUGUUAUUUUAAAUAUCCAAAUUCAUGCCUAGCACACUAUUUGGUGCUCGGUUGAUAUCGCUAAAUGACUGAGCAUGUGAAGGAGGUGGCCUCAAUGCUUUCGUGUUGCUGUUUUGUGGUUCUGUAAUUCAAAAUAAAAAGUACAACAAUUUCCUCAGUAACCUUUCUCUUCUGUUCAGUAACAGUAUUCAGAUAACUAAUUAUAUCUAUUUGGAUUCAAUAAAGGAUCCUAAAAUAGCAAUCCAACCAGUUAUCCAGAGGAAAGCUGUCAAGGCCUCUAAUGACACUCAGGCAGAAAGACAGGCAGAUGGACCACCUUCCUUCAGCCUUAGGAAAAGAGUAAGACCAAUCUGUUGGUCCUGGGAUCACACAGUGCACAGGCCAGUGCAGCUAGUAUAGGUGUUCUGCUCUGUCCUGCCUAAUGUUUCUGGAUAAAUGAUAAACCACAUCUGGGCAUCCACAUCAGUCUGAGGUUUGCUUCAGUCUCAUUUUGUGUAGUCAGUUGUUUCUUAGGCUGAGCUCUGGAACAUGGUGAUCCAUGCUCCGGACUGUCUGAACUCCUGCUCAGGUCCUGCUGCUACUGACAUUGGUGAGUCCUUUAUCUUGAAGUCUGCUGGUUUGAACAAGAACAGUCUUACUUUUGGGGAAGAGAAGAAUAAUUUGUUUUUCUUUCUUUUUAAGUGCACCAAAUAUUGAAAUGUUUAAAAACUAUGUGAGAAGAUUCUAUUUGCUUCCCAAUUUUGCAGUCCCAACUCGUAUCUUUCUCCCAUCUGUGGUCUAUUCUGCAUCCUUUACAUACCUAUGGAGAAAAUUUUCAUAAAACCAAAACAGAAGAAAGAAAGAAGCAGAACAUUCCUGUCAUUGUCUAUGUUGAUAUUUGGAAUGUCAAAGAAAUUAAACUUCAUGAAAACCAAGUUUUUUGAACUCACAGGUCACACAGUACACCUGCAGAGAAGCUUCCUGAUGGAAUCAGCCAGGCAGAGGCAGAACUUGUGCCAGAAAUCAAAUGAUAAGACAAGGAUGGGAAGCGCUUUGGGCCUAGUGGAUAGAGGGCCCUCAAUGUUGAUUACCAAUUGCUUCCCGGGUUUUAGACUUGAGCCAAGGAGAGGGAACUCUCUGGGGUGCUUAAAGCACCCCAAUUUCCUAGACAAAUUCUUUUCUCAAUAUACCCUUGACUCAUGGAUUUGAUCCUGCAAAACUGAUACCAUUUCUUCCCCAGUUCCUUGAUGAUAAUGGCCCCUUCAUAUGAGCAUUUGGUGAGUGAUUUGCAAUGACCUAGUUUGUUGUAAAGCACACACAUGACUGUAUUGUGUAUUGUUAAGCGGCAUUAGGAUAUGGUGGUGGCUUUCUCUGAGGACAAGGGAUAUUUUCAGAAAUCACUGCUGUGUGAUUUGAGAAUAUUACCAUGUUGUGUACGGACUUGCCUCAAGUGCAGCCGUUUAAAAACAACAACAACCAAACAACCUUUCACUAAAAUAUAGUAACUUCAAAGCAGAACAAUGCUUUUAGAUUCUUAUAAAACAAAACAAAAUGAAACCUAGAUGUCUGGUCUUGGUUGCCUUUGCCUAUUAAUUUAUACUAGUAAAGAAUUGCUCGAAAAUUUACAUCAAAAAGUGUGGUAAUGUGAAUUUUUACUGAACGCAGCCUCUUGGUAGAUAUGGGCCAGAUCAACCCACUUAAUCUCAUUUGGUAAGGUUGGGAAAAAUCCUUCUUCCUCUUAUUGUGUGUCUCAGUGAUUGGAUGGCACUUGGAGAUAAAAAGGCACAGCCUGAGAUUAUCUUGAGACAAUUGCACAAGGCCCCAGGACAAUGGCAAGGCAGUAGCAAUUUAAAACCCAGCUGCUGGUGAUUAGCAAGGGUUCUUUGUGUUCUUAAUCCUACUGUAUCUUUUUCUUUUGGAUCAGCUGUGGAGUGAUGGCAGCCGGCUUGUUAACACCAGGACUUAGGUUGUAGGUUUACAUUGUUAUUGGUUGGAGUUCCAGUAGACACCAUCUUCGCAUCAUAAGGCAGGUUGUGCCUUUUCUUCCCCCUUUUCCUCUUUCUCUUGCAUUCUUCAUAGCCUAGGAUAAAAUGUAACACGGGAAAAUUAAGGAGAAAUAAAGAACAAGAGAAUUUUCAGUGCAUUAUGCAAAUGCAAAUAUACGGAGGUAUGCAAACUUUUGUAAAUGUAUCGGAACAGGCUUCUUGCCACCCCCUCUUUUUUUUGGCUAACAUUCAGCAGUCCAUUUCACCCUGACUCCAUGAAGAAUGCUUCUGAAAUUUUGAUUAUUUGAGACACACCUAUUUCAUCUCUUUUCUAAAGUUGAUUUUUUUUUGCUAUUGUUGUUGUUUUUUUUGUAUGAUCUGGCCCUGUGGGUGUCAUUUGGUGGUGCUAGAGCAUCUGUGAUAUGAGGGGAAAUUUGCCCAGAAAAAACAAAGCACACUUUUCGGGGAAUGUAGCUUUGGGUAAAUUGUAGGGAGUGGUUUGGAUGCUCUGAUCCAGAAUGAGUGCUGAAGGUCCUGUUCUGCAAUUGGUUUUUGAUUGAUCAAUAAAGAUGUUAGGGGAUAGUAGCUGGGAAGAAGAGGUGGGACCUCCAAUUUACUGCAGGCAGGCUAGCAGACACAGGAGGAAAGAGAUUCUCUACGCUUCUGAGGUAGAGCCACCAGACAUGUGAGAUCUUGGGUGGAGUGGCCAUUGGCUACUUCCCCAACUGGACCUGGGGUAAUAGGCAGGUUAUUAGAAAUGCAACUAAGAUGAGGGCAGAUUUGGGGGUGUUGAGCUGGGAGUGAGGAGAAGGGCACACUAGUUGGGGAGGCUUAGAAGAGCCUAGCCAUUGAGCUAAAGCAUAUUAAAAAUAAGUUAAUGUGUGUGUGUGUGUGUGUGUGUGUGUGUGUGUGUGUGUGUGUUUCAUUUGAGGACCCAAGGUGGCUCCUGGACAGGGGCUGUCACACAGUCUGCCUGCCUGGAGCUGAAAGCAGGAUUCUUAGAAGAAGCUACAUGCUACAGUAGAUUAGCUGUCUUAGGUACAUAGCCAUGCUCAGACACAUGUCAGUGAAUGAAAGAGAGAUUAUGCUGGGAGUUGGGAUCAAAAGGUGAGAUUAAUGUCUUUAGAAAGUGAAUGGGAGAAAAAGUAGAAAUUAUCUUCUUGGAUUACUGUUCCUGCCACUGAUAGGACACUGCCAUUUAUGCUGAUCUAGAUCAGAGGGACAGUGCUCUAUGGUCAGCUUGAAGAUAAUUUUCAAGACAAAUACUUUUAUUUGCUAGAUGUAAUUGUUGUCUCAGAGGCUUACUGCUGAAUAGCUCACCCUUUCCAAUUCUUUCUGAAGUAUGGUUGGCUGGUUCAACUCAGCUGUUCCGGUCCAAAUUCCUCACCACUCUUUUUUUUUUUUUUUCUUUUUUUCGGAGCUGGGGACCGAACCCAGGGCCUUGCACUUGCUAGGCAAGCGCUCUACCGCUGAGCUAAAUCCCCAACCCCUCCUCACCACUCUUGACUGAUUCAAACUGCCUUCUCUAGACUUCUGACUGAAUUGCUCUGCUUGGCCUCAAACUAACUCUGACAAUUUGUUCUAAUUUUCUGGCUCCUUUUUAUUUUCUGGUUCUUUCUGAUUUCACCUGCAACAACCAGUCUCCGUAAAACUGUCCAGUAAAACUGUCUCUAUCCCUGCCCCUCCCCCCUGCAUUUCUCUCUAAGUCCUCCUUUCCUGAGCUGUUCUCAUGAGAGUUGGCUAUAUCUUUUCUCUGACUCAUUAUGUCAAACCUUUCUCUGACUUGUCACUUUGUCUGACCUUCAAUUAGAUGUCACUUUCAAACAUGGCUGCUUUCUUCUACAAACUAACUCUACCUUCAUUGUUUAGGAUUAAAGGUGCAUACUAAGGGUGAGUCUACAUUCCAGCCAGAGGGAUUAAAAGUAUGUGGCAUUUCUGCAUUCCACCUGGAUCAUACACACCUAGAAGUUUUUUAUUUUUUUUAUUUUAUUUUUUAUUUUAUGUGAUCUGAUCAGCCAGGUUGCUGGAUUAAGAUUCAUCUACAAAUAAUCCACCUUUAGACUGAUUCACUGAAGGCCUGCUAUAUGCUUGCCUGGGAUAGAGUUUCUUGUGCGUUGACUGAAUUCAGCUGGCUUAAAAUCUCCUUUGUUCUGGGUGAUGGUUUAAUUCUCAGGAAAAUACAUGGGGGCUGUAGCUCAAUUGCUGUCAGCCUGAGCUCGUGUGCUGUAGCGAUCGAAGUAUCUCUCUUGGGAUUCUCAUUUUCCUUUUAAGGAACUCAUCACGAGUUUAUAAUGAAAUCAUUCUGGUUAGGAAGAAUCCCCAGCAGCAGAUAAAAGCUUGAAUCAUCUCUCGGAUUCCCCUUUGAGAUUUGCAUUCACCCAUGAAACCGAGGUUGGAAGAUGGCUGUUUACAAAGGUGGUUGAAAAGGAAUUGAUAAAGGAAUUUUCUAACAAAAUGGAGUCAAACUCACCAUGUGGGUGCUGGUCUUUGAAGUGAGGGCCCAGCUUUGAUCUGCUCAGACUUCACACACAGCUUCACUGCAGAGCCUUAUCAUUUAUCUUGCUCCUGGAGCACAGACUAGACCAUUCCUUCUCUGCUCAGCUUCAGCCUGUAAUUUCAUCUUUGUUUUUCUAAAGAUGAUGGAGAAGUCUAGUGGUAUUAAACUACAACAACGUGUGCUUUCUGACCAGGAGAAAUUGCCAAAGGAGCCCAUUUCAGUAUCAUACCAAGGACUUUCCUUCCCUCUCUUUUCUGAAGUGAAUGGUAGUGAAGCUGAUAAUGAUAGAGGUCUGAGUUUUAGGCCCUGCAGGCUCCUAUCCCAUCUGGUGCUCCAGCGGAAACACGUAAUCCUCCUAAACCUGGAGCUGGUGCUGUGUUGCUUAGUUGAUUAUCAAGUGGCCAGAGGUGGCAGUGUGUGACAAGCACUCUGAUAGAAGCCUGCUGUGACAAGUCACAGGUCCUGAGUUUUAGACAAAGGAAUGGCUACUUCACCAGAUGUCUGAUGUAUGGUCAGGUGUGAGGAAACUUCCAGAUCACAGACAUCUUUUUAAUCACCUAGAAGAGGGAAUGAUAUGCUCCAGUCAGGGUGCUUUAUGGAACAGAAACUGGACAAGUGAGCGAAUGGAUCGUGAAUGGACACUGGGAUGAACGCUUUGCCCUUGAUUCCAUCUCCUCAAACUGAAGUCCUUAGUUCGUUUGUUGUGUGAAUACUAGAGGAGGGUACAACCAAUUGGGUCUUCACUGUGGAGAAGGCCUGAGAAAAGCAACUGAGGGGGAAAGAUUAUUUUUAGCUCUUGGUUUCAUCCUGUGGUUGUCACCUUUCUUUUUUCUCUUGGUGACCAUGAAGCAGAUAGUCAUGGCAGAAAGGCCUGAGGAGAAAUCUGCUCAACUCAGGGUAGUCAGGAAGCAAUGAGAAAGGACCAGAGACCAGAUAAAACCUUCAGAGGCACGCCUCCAGUGACCCACUUCCUUCAGCUAAACCCUGCCCCCUAAAGUUGAUACCAAUGCUGCUCUCAAAGUAGUGUCACCACCUGGACUCAAAGGCACCAAUACAUGGGCCACGGUUGCCUUUCAGAGGCAAAAUGUAACAGAGGCUCAUUUGCAUGAAGUAUGCUUAUUGCUCUUGAGUAGCUCUGGGUUGUAGGUCUGUCAUCCUAAGCUCUAUGUGGUGUUAUACUAGUUUUUAACUUUACUGUCCAUUUCUUUCUAAAUAAAAUGAUGAUAGUUAACUUCAGGAUGAAAAGUCAAGGCUGAUUAAUCAAUAUUGUGAAUAUAUUUAUAUACGUAUGCAUACAUGUACAUAUACAAAUACAAAUACAUAUGCAUACAAUGUACAUAUACACCUACACACACAUAUAUCCCAAUACAGUGCCUUCCACUCAGUAAAGGACACCAAAAAUAACAGGAAAAACAUAGCCAGAUGGUAAGAUAGGAUUUAACAGGUGUGUGUUUACCCUAGAAAAAUGAGAAAGUUCUGUGAGGUUGUAAACUGACUAUCCCCACUUUAAAGCUGGUAAUAACAAUAACAAUGACAGUGAAUAUGAAUUAUAGCUGGGUCCUGAUAUCAUUAAAUGUUAUGACUUGUGACCUAGCAAUGCUUUAAUACUUUCCAACAUCAGCUUCUUCCUUUCUCCUCUGGGGUUUGAGCAUGAACCCUAAUUACGUCCUCCAAGAGGUGAAUGAUGAAGUUCUCUUGUUAGUAGUGCUCAAGUGGAGAAAUAGGAGAUCUAGCUAGCUUGUCUAAGAGGGUCAUUGGGUCAGUGAUCUAUUAUGCAAAGAGAUGGCAGCUCCAGCUCUUUGGGCUGCUAUAUUUGUCCCCGUCAGUCUGUUCACAAACUGCAGUCAUAGAUCACACAGCGGUUUCUACCCAUUAGGAAGAUUAUGGCCCACCAUGCAACUAGAAGAAAAGGCUUCUCUCCCCACACAACAGAGUGUCUGGCUGCAGAUCCCACGCUCUUCACAUCCCUGCCAGGAAGUUCUGAGAACGAGGCUGUGGCUGCUAAGAUUUAAAAGAUUAAGAGCUGAACCUCUUGACGACAGUGGUCUUGAUGGUGACUCUGCUGACACCCUAAGCUUUCAGAGUGUCCUUAGCCAUACUUAUUUGAGUGGUCUUUCUCCAAUAUUAAGCUAUUUAAACCUUGCCCAGGUUGGUGGAUAUGUUACUUUAAUUUUAUCUUAGAAAUCCAUGUUGAGAAUUUGCAUUUGCUAUCCCCUUCGUUCUAAGAAGAAAAAUGAGUUAUAUUGCCAUCCAGUUGUAUCUGUGUUUGCAAUUGCACACACACGUUUGGUUACAUGUUCAUGGAGUUGGGUCUGGAUGACAUGUGAAAAGAUCUUAUUUUGGCAAACAGAGAUAACCUGUUAGAAUCUACUAGCAAAAGAGGACAAGCCCAACCAAGUCAUUAGGUACUUCUAAUUCCAUACACACAAUUCCAGAAAAUACCUUUUCCACUGGUAUCCUUUCUAAGGAGACACAGGGCAGUGCAAGCCCAGGCACAGAGCACACACCCCUCUUGGACUGUAGGCUCUGAUUUGUCCUGUGUACCUUCAGAAGCAGCUUGAAGGCUUGAUGGCAAAUUCAUAAGGAGGAACGUUCACCCUGCUAUUAACUUGGCUCACUCCGUGAUUCCACCAGCCACCCAGUUCUAUUCAUGCCUACUAAUUGAUCUCUAGGCCCCAGAAACAUUCACAGUGAUUUGGAGUGUUUAAAAAAAAUCACAAAAUUUGAUUCUUCCUCUCAAUGAGAUGAAAUCUUAUUGGGAGUAUCUUGUAUUCAUGAAAGAAAGAGUUAGAAAACCCGAGGGCUUAAUUCAAUUAAAUUUUAGGAAAGCGUUUGGAGAAUAAUCAUACUAAGAAUAUUGUUUCAUACUCCUGUCAAUCAUUUGUGAGAUUUGUCAACUAUACUAGUAAUAAUCAGAAGGGAUCUGUACUCUGAGCUAUAUGCAGAUCUCACUAGUCCUACAGGGGUUUGUUCUUGUUGUCAGAAGCUUCACUUUGUCCUCUCUGAGCUAGGACCACUUCUGACUCCCCGAUCAUAUAUCACCACAAGCCGCUCCGGCCUGAGCAUCAAGUUCUAUCCAGAAUCACAAAUAUGCCAAGUUUGAGUACCAUCCAAUAGCGAUCCAAGCCCCCACUCAACAGAGGUGGGUAUGAUAGCCACAGCAAAAGACAAGAGCAGACAGUCAGUCUAAUUCCAGAUGCCAUCACAAAAACACAAACAACAGGGAAAAAGACAGCGUACCAUUAUUAGUAAUUAAAGACCUAAAAUUUGGGACUUGCUUGCUUUUUCCAAAUGGAAUACAUUUAAUGUCACCCCUAAUCCACCUCUUGUCUUUAAGGGGAAACAGUUUCUUUUUUUUUUUCUUUUUUCUUUUUUUUUCGGAGCUGGGGACCGAACCCAGGACCUUGCGCUUGCUAGGCAAGCGCUCUACCACUGAGCCAAGUCCCCAACCCAACAGUUUCUUAAGAGAGAAAAAAAUCAGACAAGCAGUAGUUACUGGGCCCAAUCCAGGUCAGCAACACUUUACUAGAACCCUAGACCCAAGGUUAAUUAGCAUCCACACCAGUCCAGUCAAGUGAGUUAUCCUGUACAUUUUCUUUAAUCUAGAGGAAGGUUUCUUUCUAGUGAGUGUGUGUGUGUGUGUGUGUGUGUGUGUGUGUGUGUGUGUGUGUGCGUACAUUAUACAUAUGGAAGACAAAAGUCAAUGUUGGGUGUCUUUCUCUAUAGUGUUUCUUCUUAUUGUUUGAGGCAGGGUCUCUCACUGCACUUGUAGCAUAAUUAGACAAGAGUACCUGGCCACCAGACCCCAGGAAUCUCCUCUCUGCCAUUCCAGUCUGGGAUUACAUUGUGUGUUACUUAGCCUCCCUUACUCCCCCACUUGUUUUAUUUAAUGAACUCAUGUCCUUAUUCUUGUGCAAUAAACAUUUCACUGACUGAGCUGUCUCCUUAGCCUCUACCUCCCUUUACUCAUUCAUACUAGGCCCUACUGUUCCUCAUUGCUGUCAGAUGUUUUGCUUAAUCUUCUCAAAGUAGAGUGUGUUCUAUUCUUUUGUAUCUCACAACACUCGGCAUUUACUUAUGUGGAAGGUCUUAAUUUCCACACAAUUUUAUAUUUUGUUAAUCUGUCAAGUCUCUUAUCUUCAGAACACUUUUUUUUUUAAUCUUAAAUUUUUCUACUGUAUGGAUUGGUUCAGUACUACUUCUCAAGGAUCUAUUCCGCCUAAUUCCAUUGGCGGGUUAUAGCGAUAUCACGUUCAAGAGUAAAUCAACCGGGAGCAGUUGCUUAGCGUUUUGACAUUCAUUAAUUGGUUCUUAUUUUAAUGAAUGAAUAUGUAUGGUAAGUGUGUAUAUGACUAAAAAUAAAUGUUGAAUUGUAAAAAAGAGGUUCGUCACAGUUGAAAUGGCUUUGGCAUGCUGCUAUGAUAAUUUGCAGGAUGAUUUGCUCAUAUUUAAUCAUUUAGCUUCCCAAGAAUAAAGUUGUUAUAGAAAAUUUUAAUCCCAAUCUGGGGUUUCUACCCCACCUUUGAGAAUUAGUUCCCAGAUAAAAGACACAUGCGACCUUUAUAAUUACAAGAGCUGGGCAGAUAUUUACCCUCUAUGCUAUUUAGACUCAAUCCUUCCCUGUUGAUAAUCUGAGUUAUUCCUUACUAUGUUUCAUCUGGGCUGCUCUUGACUCCACAAUUGGCCAACCCCCAGGGCCAUGUUUUGUUGACUCCUAACUCAUGGCUACUUUCUCCUCCUCCUUACCUUCUUCUUUCUCCCCUCUCGGUCUCCUUUGACUUCAAAGCUGGGAACACCAAGCCUAUCUAAAUUCUGCCCAGCUACAGACCGUAGACAUCUUUAUUCAUCAAUCAGAAAUAACCUGGGGGCAAGGUCACAUUGCAAGGUCACUUGGGUCUACGUGCAGACUCUCUCAUCUCUCGGGCAACCAGGUCUUGGGGGGUCCACACUUAGCAUACGUAGUAAAAGGCCAAACCUCAAGUUAUGGAUUUUCUUUCAGCACUGCAGAAGAUCCUGCUUUAAUAUUUCACCUAUAAUUUUUACAGUAAUCUUUGGGAUGAUUAGAGACAUCCUUUUAUCUGUUUCAUCAAGGAUUUAAAAGGCGAUUUCUUGAAACUCUUACAAUUUAAUUAUGUAUAUUAAAAUUAAUUAACUUCGAUGGUUUUCCUUGGUAAGAUUGUUGUGUUAUUUGUGCCACUUUGUGUGUUUGUUAGAAAGGAAAAUAGGUUUACUAGGUUUGCCUAUGUUAUUAAUGUUAUCCAAAGGAACAAAUAUUGUGUGUGUGUGUGUGUGUGUGUGUGUGUGUGUGUGUGUGUGUAAGCCAGAGGACAACCUUGUUCUUGUUCCUCAGGCUCUAUCUCUCUCCCUAUCCCAUUGAGACAGAGUCACUCACUGGCCUAACUUUUUAGAUAGGCUGAACCGCCAGCAGUGAGCCCUUGGGAUACUCCAAGUGCUAUGAGUCCAAGCACAUUCUACCAUUGCCCAGCUUUUUCAAUGUGGUUUCGGGGGACCCAGGCCUUCAUGCUCGCAAGGCUGCCUUACUAGCUGAGCCAGUUCCCAGCCCAUUAUUCUUUCUUUGGGAUAGCUAUCAUUGUUCUUUACGUUGGAGCUGGCACUUCAUCCACUUGCCACUCUCACUGACAAGAAACCUUUGGACGUCCUGUGCUUUUACUUGGGCAUUUAAUUCAUCCGUACCCUCUGUCUGCGAAACACUGCAUUUUAUUUGUUUCAGUUCUCAGAAACUUUGCAAUUACUUUUUAUACUUUCUAUAUUAUUUAUCUUCUUGCCACAAGAUUUGAAUGGUGUGGGGUUUGUAUUUCCAGGAAGAAGGGGUUUAUACUUUUAGUUUUAUUUCUCCAUGAUAAAAAUAUACCAUUUUAGUUUUUAUGGAAAUUAUUAAUAUUUUUAACUUUUUGUGGCUUAAUAUAUUGUUAAUUUUUAAGUAGUCCAUCUUUUCUCAUGGACCUAAAAUUAGCCCUUCCACCCUUAAGCUUUUUCCAGAAUAUCUUUUGAAAUCAUAGUAACAGAAGAGACAUUGAAUAAAAUAGGCUAAAAGAAGUCAGCACGAGAAUAACUUUUUUGUAAUAAUCUUAUUGGCAUGAUGGUUACAUUUGGCAUUGUUUUUAUACUUUGUCUAUUUUAAACUUGUGUAUUUUCUUUUUUGCUUUGUGUGAAUACUUUUUCCUUUUUGUUUCAAAGCUUACUUGUUGAAAGAGACAUUUCUGGAGCUGGGGAUAUGGCUCAGUGGGUCAAGUGAUUGUCACAGAAGCAUGAGGACUAGCAUUAAAAUCACCAGCACAGAUGUAAAACUGGGAGCAAUAGCUUGCUUCUGUCAUCCUAGUGCUUCUGCAGUGACUGGGAGACAGACAGAAGAAUGUCUGGAAGCAUUGACCAGUUAGCCUGGCAUAUGUAGGGACAAACAUCAAAGAGGCCUUUCCUCAAAGAAGGCAGCAGGCAAGAGCCAACACCUGAGAUUGUCCUGUGACCUCCACAUACCAGUAUGUGGAGGUAUGUAACCAGUAUGACUCCACAUGCCAGUAGCUCCACACAAACGUGCACACAGAGAUCCACAUAUACAUACAUACACACACACACACACACACACACACACACACACACACACACACACAAAG